rnacentral:rRNA from 1 species
CCUACGGGAGGCAGCAGUAGGGAAUCUUCCACAAUGGGCGAAAGCCUGAUGGAGCAACGCCGCGUGAGUGAUGAAGGCCUUCGGGUUGUAAAACUCUGUCAUUCGGGACGAACCGGAGUCUGAGGAAAUGCAGACUCUCUGACGGUACCGGAGGAGGAAGCCCCGGCUAACUACGUGCCAGCAGCCGCGGUAAUACGUAGGGGGCAAGCGUUGUCCGGAUUCACUGGGCGUAAAGCGCGCGCAGGCGGUGAUGUAAGUCUGAGGUGAAAACCCGAAGCUCAACUUCGGGACUGCCUUGGAUACUGCGUCACUUGAGGAUAGGAGAGGCAAGGGGAAUUCCACGUGUAGCGGUGAAAUGCGUAGAGAUGUGGAGGAACACCUGUGGCGAAGGCGCCUUGCUGGCCUAUUUCUGACGCUGAGGCGCGAAAGCGUGGGGAGCAAACAGGAUUAGAUACCCUGGUAGUCCACGCUGUAAACGAUGAGUGCUAGGUGUAGGUGGGCUCAUACCCAUCUGUGCCGAAGCUAACGCAUUAAGCNCNCGCCGNGGAGACGGUCGCGAGACGAGAACGUACAAGUAGAAGUUAGACGGCGUUGAGGACGUUGCCGACGGACGACGACGAGGGGAGGUAGG